GAACAUUCCUCAUAUUCAUCUGCACGAAAAGAAGGGAAACAAAGAGAAGUGGCAUGGUGCCGAAAUACAGGUGGUAAUAGAAGGAAACUGGACAACAUACAGAUCAAAGAUCUUGCACUAUAUGCGCCAAAUGGCUGUUAUUACUCCUUAUGCACAGUUUCUGUUUAGAUUUAUAUCAGAGACACCAGAG